ensembl:lncRNA
GCAGACAGGCUGAGUUUCGUGUGGCUGCAUGUGUGUUGAUCUGAUCUGAUGUCUGCGGGGAAACAAGAGCACGGCCGUGUCGUGAUAACCUAGAGCCACGUCCAGUGCUGAUGAAGACUGUGCUAAAGUACCCGCUCUGACCAGAUCACUAUCAUACGGCCAGGCCAGACGGAAAGGUCGUGGCCUGACCUAAAUGACGGGGCACAGGAAGCAAUUACGAUAAGCUUUUAAAUGCAAUUAUUUGUGUAUUUCAUGUGUCAGUUUCAGAGGGAGAGCAGAGGCGGGUGACGUCACGUGACCUGUGUCAAACUCACAACACGAGUUCAGAAGACGUUCUGUGUGAUGUGCAGAGCUGCUGAGGAAUUCAUGUGAAGCUGUUUGGACUCUCAUUCUGACGGCACCCAUUCACUCCAGAGGAUUCAUUAGUGAGCAAGUGAAGGAAUACUACAUUUCUCCAGAUAUGAUGAAGAAACAAACUCAUCUACAUUUUUGGAUGGCCUGAAUGGACAUUUUUAAUGUGGAUCUUGAUAAUGGAGAUGAGUGAGUGCUGUGGAGCUGUCAGGGGAAUGAGAUCAGACACACCUGCUGUGAAUUGUCAAGCGAUGCCCUUGAGCCUCACUAUUCGUAUUUUUCUUUAUUCCAAGGCUGCUUCUUCAUGCUGUGAAGGCUUGUUCAUAAAGAUAAUGGCUGCAUCCGAAAUCACAUAGGCAGCUACUAAAGAGAGAAUAAACUCGGUCACGGUGAGUGGGUUGCAGUUCUGAAGCUCAGCUUUUGGAAACACUACACAUCCAUGGAGACGUUGGUUGCUUGAGAUGUUUGGGAUGGUCUGAACAACAAACAUAAUUCCAUGCAAUAGAAUCACCUAUUAUGUUUUCAUACCACAUUAGCAGUCAGGAGUUUAGACACACCUUGUCAUUUCUUAUGAUAAUUAUUAUCAGUAUUUUGAAAUAAUGAACCCCAC